rnacentral:rRNA from 1 species
UACGGAGGAUGCGAGCGUUAUCCGGAUUUAUUGGGUUUACAGGGUGCGUAGGCGGAUCAUUAAGUCAGUGGUCAAAUUGAGGGGCUCAACCCCUUCCCGCCAUUGAAACUGGCGAUCUUGAGUGGAAGAGAAGUAUGCGGAAUGCGUGGUGUAGCGGUGAAAUGCAUAGAUAUCACGCAGAACCCCGAUUGCGAAGGCAGCAUGCCGGCUUCCUACUGACGCUGAAGCACGAAAGCGUGGGGAUCGAACAGG